GUGUCAGCCGCCGCGGUAAUACGUAGGGUGCAGGCGUUAAUCGGAAUUACUGGGCGUAAAGCGUGCGCAGGCGGUCUGCUAAGAGAGAUGUGAAAUCCCCGGGCUUAACCUGGGAACUGCGUUUCUAACUGGCAGGCUUGAGUGUGGCAGAGGGGGGUGGAAUUCCACGUGUAGCAGUGAAAUGCGUAGAGAUGUGGAGGAACACCGAUGGCGAAGGCAGCCCCCUGGGCUAACACUGACGCUCAUGCACGAAAGCGUGGGGAGCAAACAGGAUUAGAAACCCGCGUAGUCC
rnacentral:rRNA from 1 species